AAAGGUGACCGGAGUUGACUCAUGAUUGCCAUGGAGGAUGUUGUUUUACAGACGGGUGUGCAGCUAGAGAAUAAAUUAGUGAUCAUAUGAGGCAAUUUGAAAGCAAUUUCAACAGGUCAGUAAAUUGGUUAAGAAGGUUGAAUCGGCAAAAGAAAUAUCGACAAGUAUAGGAUAAAUGAGAGGAUAAUAAAGCGGCACUUUAAAGGAGUCAGCUCGCGUGCUUGGCAAAUUGGACACGAACGGAACUGUUUUCUGUGCAAUUACAGAGAAACCCAAGAACGUUUUUCCACCACGUACACGGCUGGUCAACUGACUUGACCGAAUUAGAGCUUUGUUUUGGUGCUGAUUUUAUAAAGCAGCGUGUACGCAAACAUAUUAUUAAUAUUUGCGAUCUUUCAGUAAUAUUUGCUUGGAGACAGAUCCAGCUAAGCAAUUUCAUUUCUGAUCAAUGGAAACUAAUCUCCAGUUUUAGUCGCAGAAGAAUCAAACACGUGUUUGCAGCGAUUGUUUCGUUUGACCUUUUUUCAGGACCGUACCUAGCGGGUUGCAAUGUUGGGGUUGCAUCCCCAGAAAGAUAAGAAAACAGGUUUUUAAAACUUGUUUUAGUUACAAAGUGCCUGUUUGUGAAUCUGAAGAACAUCCUGUAUUUCUGUGCUUUGAUUGUUUUAAUCCUGCCACCCUCCCCCUUUAUGUUAGACUAGGUACGGUCCUAUCUUUGUUGGAAUAUGACUAGAUCGAAAUGGAGUACAUGAAUUAUUCAACAGAUUAGAGAAACAUUUUACUACUGAAUUCUGUGGCAAUAUAGCUAUCUUCAAAAGAACACAAGAUAAAGAGUAUAUCUCAGACAUAAUUUAGCAUCGGGCUAUCACAUAACACAAAUAGCUAUAAAGGUGAACGCAGUGCAUCUGUCAUUUUAUAAAGUUCAUGUCAUAAACCACUUUAAACAAAACGUUGGGUUUUUUUUUUUCUUGUUGUUUUUUUUGGGGGGGUUAUUGUGUGUGU